AGGACGAACGCUGGCGGCGUGCCUAACACAUGCAAGUCGAACGCGCUCCAUUCGGUAGCAAUACUGAUGAAGAGCGAGUGGCGAACGGGUGAGUAGCACGUGAGCAACCUGCCCCGAAGACUGGGACAACACCGGGAAACCGGUGCUAAUACCGGAUAUCCCUAUCGGACCGCAUGAUCUGAUAAGGAAAUGGAUUCCGCUUCGGGAGGGGCUCGCGGCCUAUCAGCUAGUUGGUGGGGUAACGGCCCACCAAGGCAUCGACGGGUAGCUGGUCUGAGAGGACGAUCAGCCACACUGGGACUGAGACACGGCCCAGACUCCUACGGGAGGCAGCAGUGGGGAAUCUUGCGCAAUGGGCGAAAGCCUGACGCAGCAACGCCGCGUGGAGGACGAAGGCUUUCUGAGUUGUAAACUCCUUUCAGCAGGGACGAUAGUGACGGUACCUGCAGAAGAAGCGCCGGCUAACUACGUGCCAGCAGCCGCGGUAA
rnacentral:rRNA from 1 species